UCACAUCAUAUUGUUGUACCGGUUUCAGGUCCCUAACAACCGUAGUCAAGAAUGAACUCUGAGGACAAGCACUAGUUGUUUACACUGACAGCGCAUAGAAAACAAGCUGGCUGAACUUGAUAUAAGAUGAAGAAUAAAAACAUAUUGCCGAAAUA